CGAUCGGUGCUUAUCAGCACCACAUACUUGGUAAGCCAAAAGACAU
rfam:Candidatus Peregrinibacteria bacterium CG2_30_44_17 cg2_3.0_scaffold_701_c, whole genome shotgun sequence.